rnacentral:rRNA from 1 species
UGACCGCUGGCGGCGUGCCUAAUACAUGCACGUCGAGCGAACAGACGAGGAGCUUGCUCCUCUGACGUUAGCGGCGGACGGGUGAGUAACACGUGGAUAACCUACCUAUAAGACUGGGAUAACUUCGGGAAACCGGAGCUAAUGCCGGAUAAUAUAUUGAACCGCAUGGUUCAAUAGUGAAAGACGGUUUUGCUGUCACUUAUAGAUGGAUCCGCGCCGCAUUAGCUAGUUGGUAAGGUAACGGCUUACCAAGGCGACGAUGCGUAGCCGACCUGAGAGGGUGAUCGGCCACACUGGAACUGAGACACGGUCCAGACUCCUACGGGAGGCAGCAGUAGGGAAUCUUCCGCAAAGGGCGAAAGCCUGACGGAGCAACGCCGCGUGAGUGAUGAAGGUCUUCGGAUCGUAAAACUCUGUUAUUAGGGAAGAACAAAUGUGUAAGUAACUAUGCACGUCUUGACGGUACCUAAUCAGAAAGCCACGGCUAACUACGUG